rnacentral:rRNA from 1 species
AAACUCAAAUGAAUUGACGGGGGCCCGCACAAGCGGUGGAGCAUGUGGUUUAAUUCGAUGCAACGCGAAGAACCUUACCUGGUCUUGACAUCCACAGAACUUGCCAGAGAUGGCUUGGUGCCUUCGGGAACUGUGAGACAGGUGCUGCAUGGCUGUCGUCAGCUCGUGUUGUGAAAUGUUGGGUUAAGUCCCGCAACGAGCGCAACCCUUAUCCUUUGUUGCCAGCGGUUAGGCCGGGAACUCAAAGGAGACUGCCAGUGAUAAACUGGAGGAAGGUGGGGAUGACGUCAAGUCAUCAUGGCCCUUACGACCAGGGCUACACACGUGCUACAAUGGCGCAUACAAAGAGAAGCGACCUCGCGAGAGCAAGCGGACCUCAUAAAGUGCGUCGUAGUCCGGAUUGGAGUCUGCAACUCGACUCCAUGAAGUCGGAAUCGCUAGUAAUCGUAGAUCAGAAUGCUACGGUGAAUACGUUCCCGGGCCUUGUACACACCGCCCGUCACACCAUGGGAGUGGGUUGCAAAAGAAGUAGGUAGCUUAACCUUCGGGAGGGCGCUUACCACUUUGUGAUUCAUGACUGGGGUGAAGUCGUAACAAGGUAACCGUAGGGGAACCUGCGGUUGGAUCACCUCCUUACCUUAAAGAA